AUGGCUCAGCUUGGGGGAGAGCCUCCCAGACCCAUGGAGAGAACUCAACAGAAAGAUGUCUUCCGCAAAGAUGCCUGGAUUCACAUCUCAGCACAAUCCCAGCAGUCCCAACCAUACUCAGACUUCCAGCACCAAACUUGGUUUCCAGACACUGGGCUUUACCUGCAUCCCAGCAGACUUCAUCCCAGCAACUUUUAUUUUUCUGGAAUAUCCCAACAUGGGCUUCAUGCCAAGCACGCUGGUGUUGGAGAGGAGAAGCUGUACUGCAGCUGUUCUCACCACCCAGAGAAGCAGGUAAGAGGCUUUCAGAAAUGCCAUCAUGCAGUGGUAUGAGCAGUGGCUGGUAGCAGCAGGAGAGGGAAGAAUAUAAAAGAGGGUAAGCAUGUAGGAUGGUAAAAUGUACAAAUAUUGAUGGAUUCUUUGAGCAAGAAGUUUGUAUAUUUUUGUAAUAUUCCCCAGUGGACU
rnacentral:lncRNA from 1 species